rfam:Triticum aestivum genome assembly, contig: Triticum_aestivum_CS42_TGACv1_scaffold_457007_5DS
UACCUACUCCCUCCGUCCGGAAAUACUUGUCGCAUAAAUGGAUGAAAAUGGAUGUAUCUAGAAUUAAAAUACAUCUAGAUACAUUCAUUUUAAUGACAAGUACUUCCAGACGGAGGGAGUAUUAA